CCAGACUCCUACGGGAGGCAGCAGUGGGGAAUAUUGCACAAUGGGGGGAACCCUGAUGCAGCGACGCCGCGUGAGUGAAGAAGUAUUUCGGUAUGUAAAGCUCUGUCAGCAGGGAAGAAGAAAGACGGUACCUGACCAAGAAGCCCCGGCUAACUACGUGCCAGCAGCCGCGGUAAUACGUAGGGGGCAAGCGUUAUCCGGAUUUACUGGGUGUAAAGGGAGCGUAGACGGCAGGGCAAGUCUGGAGUGAAAGGCGGGGGCCCAACCCCUGGACUGCUCUGGAAACUGUCCGGCUGGAGUGCAGGAGAGGUAAGUGGAAUUCCUAGUGUAGCGGUGAAAUGCGUAGAUAUUAGGAGGAACACCAGUGGCGAAGGCGGCUUACUGGACUGUAACUGGCGUUGAGGCUCGAAAGCGUGGGGAGCAAACAGGAUUAGAUACCCGAGUACAG
rnacentral:rRNA from 1 species